GUGAUAAUUCCAUUAGUCAACAAGCACCAGGCCUUUGGGUCUGCAAUGAUUAUUGAGUUAAUGGACUCAUUAUCAAACACCUUAAUGGGAGGCUAUGACUCAGUUAUCUCCAUAACUUUAUCAUUUUAAGGACCUAAUAAUUUUAGAAGAUUUAAAUAAUAUAGAGGAUGAGGUCAGAUGAACCAGCUUAUCAUGAUCCUCCCACUGGCUUCACCAAGUCAGCUUAAGGGAGACCAUUAAAAGGGUUGGUCUAGGAGCACCUAAAUCAGUCACAUUGAUUUACCUAGCUGACAUGGGUCAGCUCGAAUAGUCAAGUGAUCUGAUCAAAAUAUAAUUUCACCAAGAGGCCAGGUAAGUUCGAUCAGUGGGAGGGUCUGCCAAAGCUUGCCUUAGACACCAUCAGAAAUGGUCAGGUAAGCGGGCUCCCAAUUAAAAACCAUCGGUCUGGUUUACCUUAGACACCAACUGGUUUAAUUAGUUUGGAUUAGAUCAACCUAACAGUUCGUGCUAGACCGCUUAGCCAAGAAUCAAGUCCAUUUGGUUCUCAUUAAAGACAUGGACUUGACCAACUACAACUAUUGUAAUUGAUCUAGAGAAUCCUUGACCUAAUCUAAAACAACAAUUGAUUAAAUUUAGUCAAUUCUCUAAUUAAGUCCAUCUUCAAUCUAACCAUAGGUCUAACCCAAUUAAUAGACCUAAUUCUCACUAACC
rnacentral:lncRNA from 1 species